rnacentral:rRNA from 1 species
UACAGAGGGGGCAAGCGUUGUUCGGAAUUACUGGGCGUAAAGGGCGCGUAGGCGGCCUUCUAAGUCGAACGUGAAAUCCCUGGGCUCAACCCAGGAACUGCGUCCGAUACUGGAAGGCUUGAAUCCGGGAGAGGGAUGCGGAAUUCCAGGUGUAGCGGUGAAAUGCGUAGAUAUCUGGAGGAACACCCGUGGCGAAGGCGGUUCUCUGGAACGCAACUGACGCUGAGACGCGAAAGCGUGGGGAGCAAACAGG